rnacentral:misc_RNA from 1 species
CAUUGUCUUCAGGUGUGGAAGGCUGUCGAAGUGCCGAGGGCCAACGGGAAUAAUCAAGUAAAAACAGAAUUUCUUCCAUAUGCUCUCGAUUCUUCCACAUGUUCUCGUCAAUUUUAUGAACAGGCUGGCGGUCCGCUUCUUCCACUAAUAGCCUUUCGCCUUGUGAGGAAGGAAAGUCUUUGAGCAAAUCAGAGGCCAAGGAGCGAAUCUCAGAGGAAAGACG